UUGAAAGGGAAACGAUUGAAGUCAGUCGUACCUGUGGGUAAUCAGCCUUUUGGGUGUGAUUUUGUGGAGUGUGAGGAGUUAAACGCCUUCAUGCCUGCAUAUUCGUGCACUUUGGGUGUAUUUACCCGUGUGGUAAGUUAACAUCAAUUUCGGUGAUCAUAAAAUGGCUGGAGGAAUGUAGCUUCGAUCUUGUAUUGAAGUGUUAUAGCCUUCGGUAGAUGUGAUGAUCGGGAUUGAGGAUUGCAACGGAUACCCCUCGGGGCUACCUGUCUGAUCUCUGAUCGUUGCUCUGGUGCCGAAAGCUUGCUUACGGUUAUCAAAGUCGAUGGUCAAUAGGUUAGAAUGGGUUAAAUUCGUUAAGGAUGUUGACGUA
rnacentral:rRNA from 1 species